rnacentral:lncRNA from 1 species
ACCCUUCAAACGAUAUUCUGCAACUUAAUUUACUAGUCUACGAGCAAUAUUAAAACAAGCUUAUUGAACCUCCAUGGUAAUAACUUAUACAUAUCAAUAUGCAUCUAUCAGUUUGGAUUUUAAGAGACGCUGUGCAAAAAAGAAGCAAACUUCUCCUUCCUGAAAUGCUAAAAAUCAUAUACAGAAGGAACUCGUGCUCUAAAAAAAUGUAGUUCUUUCCCCAAAUAAGAUCUCACCCAUGGAACUCCAGAACAAACUUAAUGUCCAAAGUUCAAACCCAUCCCCUCACAUAUAAAACUCAAUGCAGCAAACCUUGUAAAAAAAUUAGUUGAAUGACUACGUGACUUUCAGCUAGGAACACGGAGAUGCAGUUAGUACAUCCUACAUCAAGCUCGGAUUUAAUCAGUGGUCUAAUAUUUACAGCAAUUCUUACACAUUGCAAAGAGUCCUUGUAAUAAGAUUUACCCAUCUCCAUUCUCAAUCAAUCAGCACAAAGGAAUUGCUAAUGGACGGAAGGCGACGGCAGCGUCAGCGUCGCGUAGAGGGUUCAGAGACGAGAGUGAGGCCGUGAGAGGAGGAGAGAAAAAAUUCAAAGUCGCAAUGGGUGAGAGUUGAGAUAAUAUUGGAUUGGAUUUAGGUUUUCACGUUUGCCUUCUUGCUUGGAGUGAUUGUG